rnacentral:rRNA from 1 species
UACGAAGGGGGCUAGCGUUGCUCGGAAUCGCUGGGCGUAAAGCGCACGUAGGCGGCUUCUUAAGUCAGGGGUGAAAUCCUGGAGCUCAACUCCAGAACUGCCUUUGAUACUGGGAGGCUCGAGUCCGGAAGAGGUGAGUGGAACUGCGAGUGUAGAGGUGAAAUUCGCAGAUAUUCGCAAGAACACCAGUGGCGAAGGCGGCUCACUGGCCCGAUACUGACGCUGAGGUGCGAAAGCGUGGGGAGCAAACAGG